ACAAGCGGUGGAGCAUGUGGUUUAAUUCGAUGCAACGCGAAGAACCUUACCUACUCUUGACAUCCAGAGAAUUUGCUAGAGAUAGCUUAGUGCUUCGGGAACUCUGAGACAGGUGCUGCAUGGCUGUCGUCAGCUCGUGUUGUGAAAUGUUGGGUUAAGUCCCGCAACGAGCGCAACCCUUAUCCUUUGUUGCCAGCGAGUAAUGUCGGGAACUCAAAGGAGACUGCCGGUGAUAAACCGGAGAAAGGUGGGAAUGACGUCAAGUCAUCAUGGCCCUUACGAGUAGGGCUACACACGUACUACAAUGGCAUAUACAAAGAGAAGCGAACUCGCGAGAGCAAGCGGACCUCAUAAAGUAUGUCGUAGUCCGGAUUGGAGUCUGCAACUCGACUCCAUGAAGUCGGAAUCGCUAGUAAUCGUAGAUCAGAAUGCUACGGUGAAUACGUUCCCGGGCCUU
rnacentral:rRNA from 1 species